rnacentral:rRNA from 1 species
GACGAACGCUGGCGGCGUGCCUAAUACAUGCAAGUUGAGCGCUGAGGGUUUGUACUUGUGGCAACUGGGUGAGCAGCGAACGGGUGAGUAACGCGUGGGGAAUCUGCCUUUGAGCGGGGGACAACAUGUGGAAACGAAUGCUAAUACCGCAUAAAAACUUGAAACACAAGGGGUAAGGGUGAAAGAUGCAAUUGCAUCAGUCAAAGAUGAUCCCGCGGUUUAUUAGCUAGUUGGUGGGGUAAAGGCGCACCAAGGCGAUGAUGGGUAGCGGGCCUGAGAGGGUGACCGGCCACAUUGGGACGGGGAUACGGCCCAGACUCCUACGGGAGGCAGCAGUGGGGAAUAUUGCACAAUGGGCGGAAGCCUGAUGCAGCAACGCCGCGUGCGGGAUGACGGCCUUCGGGUUGUAAACCGCUUUCGCCUGUGACGAAGCGUGAGUGACGGUAAUGGGUAAAGAAGCACCGGCUAACUACGUG